GGAUAUAUAUGUGAAGAGUGUCUUGAGGAGAUGUAAUGUUGUAAAAACUAUGCUCAGUAGUAUUAUGCUAAGGCCC
rnacentral:snoRNA from 1 species